rnacentral:lncRNA from 1 species
AGGUAAAUUUGAAGAGUUGGGGAAGAAGGCUGGGGAGAUGGUUCAAUCAGUAACGUACUUGUCUCGUAAGGAUGCAGACCUGAGUUUGAUCCUCAGAACUAAUGUUAAAAAAUUGGACGCGGAAAAGUAUGCCUCUAGUCCCAGAACUUGGAAAGCAGAGAUAGUGGGUUCCUGGCUCACUAGCCAACCAGCCUAGCUGAAUUGUGAAACAAGGAGUGACAGCACAAAGCAGAGCCAACGCCUUUAUAAGGGCCGCCACAAGUGCUCAGGGGACACCAUCCUUGGCCUUCAUGCACACUAAGUCUUAGCUCAGCACAAGCUUUUGGUGCCACUCUGCCCUCUGGCAGACUCCCUGAAGAACUGGACACGGCCCUGUUAACUUGUCUCCUAUGCUGCACUGGGAAGGCCCUGAGUGGAAUGCUGAUGUUCUUUGGGCCGUUGUCUGUGUCCAUGAAGAGGGAGAACAAUGUGCUGAAAUCUCCAAAGACUCGGGUGAGGCUCCUUCAGUGACAGGAGCUUCAGUACUCGCCUGUCUCCCCGUGAUGGUUCAUGAAUCACCUGUUCCCAAUUCUUUAUUAACAUCAUCUUGAUAAGACACCUGGCAGAGCUCAAGACACACAGAGGUUUAGAGGGUGAGGGCCAGACUGUGUAAUGGUUCUAGAAUCCGCUCCUGUCACAGUAUUCGGCCUCCUCAGAGUUAAGGGCAGCUACCACAGAACUGAGUCUCCCCC